rnacentral:lncRNA from 1 species
AUUGAGUUGAAAUUUUGUACUUUCAUGUUUUAGACUAAACCUAAUUCGGCCUCUAACUAUGAGUACUAAAACCGGGCAGAACUGAACUGAAAUUUUCCAGAAAUCUGGGAUUCUUGCAAUCAAUUGCUAAUUUCCUUAUUUUUGGCUUGCUUCACUACCUUAACUUCCCAUAUCAGAUUAUAAACAUCAAAGCCCCAAUUUUUAAGCACUAGAAAAAUUAUAGGAAAGCUGUAACAAUUCCAAUAAAAAUGAAAAAUCAUGAUCCAAGCCUCUAUUUCACCACAUACAUCAAUAAUCCAACCAUAUGUGACAUAUUUAGCAGCUAAUCGCGAAUUUAAUUGGAGAGUCAAGGUUCUAGCAUGUAUACCUUUCCAAGGAGACUAGAGACAAGUGUUUAAGGCCUUUGUUCCUCAAGAAAAUUACACCGGUAGGUAACCCUUGUGCUAGAUAACAAAUUAAUCGGAGUAGAUUUGCGCGAAUAGAAGAAACUUUUCAAGAUUUGGAGAAGAACAAGAUAAACUCUCUUUGUCUUUCUCUCUCUC